rnacentral:rRNA from 1 species
AGAGUUUGAUCCUGGCUCAGAACGAACGCUGGCGGCGUGGCUAAGACAUGCAAGUCGAACGGACUAGUGUAUUCAUAUAUUAGUUAGUGGCGUAAGGGUUAGUAACAGAUGGGUAACGUACCCUGUGCAUACGGGAUAGCGUCAGUUGCUUCGGCAACUUUCCGAAAGGGGCGGUAAUACCGAAUAAUAUCAGGAGUCGAUAGGCUCCUGAUCAAAGAUUUAUCGGCGCAGGAGCGGCCUGUCUCCUAUCAGCUUGUUGGUGAGGUAAUGGCUCACCAAGGCAUCGACGGGUAGCGGGACUGAGAGGUUGACCCGCAACAUCGGGACUGAGACACUGCCCGGACCUCCACGGAGGGCUGCAGUAACGAAUAUUGCGCAAUGGGCGAAAGCCUGACGCAGCGACGCCGCGUGUAGGAGGAAGUCCCUCGGGAUGUAAACUACUGUCAGGGGGAAGAAAGUGCGCUUCGGCGCAUUGAUC